UUUGAUCCUGGCUCAGGACGAACGCUGGCGGCGUGCCUAAUACAUGCAAGUCGAGCGGACAGAUGGGAGCUUGCUCCCUGAUGUUAGCGGCGGACGGGUGAGUAACACGUGGGUAACCUGCCUGUAAGACUGGGAUAACUCCGGGAAACCGGGGCUAAUACCGGAUGGUUGUUUGAACCGCAUGGUUCAAACAUAAAAGGUGGCUUCGGCUACCACUUACAGAUGGACCCGCGGCGCAUUAGCUAGUUGGUGAGGUAACGGCUCACCAAGGCAACGAUGCGUAGCCGACCUGAGAGGGUGAUCGGCCACACUGGGACUGAGACACGGCCCAGACUCCUACGGGAGGCAGCAGUAGGGAAUCUUCCGCAAUGGACGAAAGUCUGACGGAGCAACGCCGCGUGAGUGAUGAAGGUUUUCGGAUCGUAAAGCUCUGUUGUUAGGGAAGAACAAGUACCGUUCGAAUAGGGCGGUACCUUGACGGUACCUAACCAGAAAGCCACGGCUAACUACGUGCCAGCAGCCGCGGUAAUACGUAGGUGGCAAGCGUUGUCCGGAAUUAUUGGGCGUAAAGGGCUCGCAGGCGGUUUCUUAAGUCUGAUGUGAAAGCCCCCGGCUCAACCGGGGAGGGUCAUUGGAAACUGGGGAACUUGAGUGCAGAAGAGGAGAGUGGAAUUCCACGUGUAGCGGUGAAAUGCGUAGAGAUGUGGAGGAACACCAGUGGCGAAGGCGACU
rnacentral:rRNA from 2 species